UGGGGAAUAUUGCACAUCGGGCGAAAGCCUGAUGCAGCGACGCCGCGUGAGCGAAGAAGGCCUUCGGGUCGUAAAGCUCUGUCCUAUGGGACGAUAAUGACGGUACCAUAGGAGGAAGCCCCGGCUAACUACGUGCCAGCAGCCGCGGUAAUACGUAGGGGGCAAGCGUUGUCCGGAAUGACUGGGCGUAAAGGGUACGUAAGCGGUUAUGUAAGUCAGGUGUGAAAGGCUAGGGCUCAACCCUAGUAAGCACUUGAAACUGCGUAACUUGAGUCGAGGAGAGGAAAGUGGAAUUCCUGGUGUAGCGGUGAAAUGCGUAGAUAUCAGGAGGAAUACCAGUGGCGAAGGCGACUUUCUGGCCUUGGACUGACGCUGAGGUACGAAAGCGUGGGGAGCAAACAGGAUUAGAUACCCUGGUAGUCCACGCCGUAAACGAUGAGUGCUAGGUGUCGGGGGAGUAAUCUUCGGUGCCGAAGUUAACACAUUAAGC
rnacentral:rRNA from 1 species